UGUGUCAGCCGCCGCGGUAAUACGUAGGGUGCGAGCGUUAAUCGGAAUUACUGGGCGUAAAGCGAGCGCAGGCGGUUUUGUAAGUCAGAUGUGAAAGCCCCGGGCUCAACCUGGGAACUGCGUUUGAAACUGCAAGGCUAGAGUAUGGGAGAGGGGGGUAGAAUUCCACGUGUAGCAGUGAAAUGCGUAGAGAUGUGGAGGAAUACCAAUGGCGAAGGCAGCCCCCUGGCCUAAUACUGACGCUCAUGCUCGAAAGCGUGGGGAGCAAACAGGAUUAGAUAGCCCUGGUAGUCCACGCCCUAAACGAUGUCUACUAGUUGUUGGUGGAGUAAAAUCCAUUAGUAACGCAGCUAACGCGUGAAGUAGACCGCCUGGGGAGUACG
rnacentral:rRNA from 1 species